rnacentral:rRNA from 1 species
UACGAAGGGGGCUAGCGUUGUUCGGAUUUACUGGGCGUAAAGCGCACGUAGGCGGAUUCUUAAGUCAGGGGUGAAAUCCCGAGGCUCAACCUCGGAACUGCCUUCGAUACUGGGGAUCUCGAGUUCGGGAGAGGAGAGUGGAAUUGCGAGUGUAGAGGUGAAAUUCGUAGAUAUUCGCAAGAACACCAGUGGCGAAGGCGGCUCACUGGCCCGAUACUGACGCUGAGGUGCGAAAGCGUGGGGGAGCAAACAGG